CUCAGUGUGUAGACCAGGCUGGCCUUGAACUCCCAAUCCUCCAGCCUCAGCCUCCUCUGAGCAGCUGGGAUUACAGGCGUGAACCACCAGCGCCUG
rnacentral:miRNA from 1 species